CAGGACGAACGCUGGCGGCGUGCCUAACACAUGCAAGUCGAACGGGGUGAUCCGCUUCGGUGGAUCACUUAGUGGCGAACGGGUGAGUAACGCGUGAGGAACCUGCCUUUCAGUGGGGGACAACAGUUGGAAACGACUGCUAAUACCGCAUAAUGUAGCGAGACCGCAUGAUCUUGCUACCAAAGCUUUAUGUGCUGAAAGAUGGCCUCGCGUCUGAUUAGCUAGUUGGUGGGGUAACGGCCCACCAAGGCGACGAUCAGUAGCCGGCCUGAGAGGGUGAACGGCCACAUUGGGACUGAGACACGGCCCAAACUCCUACGGGAGGCAGCAGUGGGGAAUAUUGCACAAUGGGGGAAACCCUGAUGCAGCAACGCCGCGUGAGUGAAGAAGUAUUUCGGUAUGUAAAGCUCUAUCAGCAGGGAAGAAAAUGACGGUACCUGACUAAGAAGCCCCGGCUAACUACGUG
rnacentral:rRNA from 1 species